GAUGAACGCUGGCGGCGUGCCUAACACAUGCAAGUCGAGCGAAGCACUUACUUUAGAUUUCUUCGGAAUGACGAAGUUUGUGACUGAGCGGCGGACGGGUGAGUAACGCGUGGGCAACCUGCCCUGUACAGGGGGAUAACAGUUAGAAAUGACUGCUAAUACCGCAUAAGCCCACAGCUUCGCAUGAAGCAGUGGGAAAAACUCCGGUGGUACAGGAUGGGCCCGCGUCUGAUUAGCUAGUUGGUAAGGUAACGGCUUACCAAGGCGACGAUCAGUAGCCGACCUGAGAGGGUGACCGGCCACAUUGGGACUGAGACACGGCCCAAACUCCUACGGGAGGCAGCAGUGGGGAAUAGUGCACAAUGGGGGAAACCCUGAUGCAGCGACGCCGCGUGAGCGAUGAAGUAUUUCGGUAUGUAAAGCUCUAUCAGCAGGGAAGAAAGUGACGGUACCUGACUAAGAAGCCCCGGCUAACUACGUG
rnacentral:rRNA from 1 species